ACCCUCCAGUUCCCUUCCCCAUCAGAUCUAAACACUGGCCUGGAGUGGUUACGCAAGGAGGAACAGUAGCAUGAAAACGGACUUCAAUGUUUUGGUUGCACACAGGUCAGUUUCAAACCAAC
ensembl:snoRNA